AACAUAUCAACCAACUCUCGCAUGAGGGAGAUAGAGGGUUGAGAGAAUGCACUCCCUUGGUGUUCAUCACCCGAUUUUGCUAAAAAUCAUCCAUAAAAUCUGAUGUAGAGGUAAUCUAAAGCUCUGAUCGGAUUUCUUCUAAUUGUUAGACCUCCGCUUUGCUUCUGGGUUUCCAAAAUCAGCUACGGCGAUCUUAACAAGUCGUCAAGAUGGGUACCAAUUCUUCAACAAGUGGGUUUCGAUACCCAUCAACGAAGGGGUUUCGUUACCCAUCAUCACCAGAGGUGGGUCGCCGGUCGAUUCACUCCAUACCCACCAUCGAAGUCAAAGCCCAAAUGGUUCUGAACCAUGGGUAUCAAGCUCUGCUCAUCUCAACACCCGAUCUCAUUCCAUUCUCGCUAAGGUGCGACGGUGGCACAGAGAUGGGUUCGUCCAUGGUCGGAGGUGGGUUCAUACAGGUAUUUCCUAGAGGCGUACUAUUAUUGCCAUUCUAGGUCAAUUUCUACUCUAUUUUAGAUUGGGCAAAUUGAUAAUCAGAUAUGGGAGAAGUCAUAUUUCUGGUUGUUAGUCUCAAAAUGGGUAAUCGUAUGUGGAGGCUGUCCACCAUGGUUCUGUUCAGAUAGUAGAAUUGGUAACAGAAUUUGGCUUCCAAUCAGGUUUUGGAAAAAAAUCUGAAUUCGGAUGCUAUGUUCCUGUGUUUACUGGUUUUGAAUGUUAAUUUGUGGUUUUCCAAAAUCUAUUGUUGGUAUUGGGCAGUUGAGCUAGCUCCUGGUGGUGUGUGAUGGUGCGAGGGACGCGCAACUAUGCCCAAUUUCCUCAUGCCAGUUUAGUUCAAGCUGGUUUUGAAAUGUCUUUGACGUGUAUGUCCAACUUGAGAAACUCGAAUGGUUCCUUAGACUUGUAGAUCAUUUUGAGAACCUCGAUGGGCAGUCAUCUGUUGGACUAAGAUCGGGUUAUCUUAUGGAUUUAAUUGACAUCCCCAGUGUGUUGCCGGAUGAUGGGUAAUUGUAGUAGAUUGGUAAUUGCAGUAGGAUCACAGGUUGUUUUUGCCCAAUUAUGGGGCUAAGGUGUUAGCGUUGUUGCUAGGCUUGUUUAUAACCCAAAUUUCUUUGCUUCUCUGGGCCGUUGUUCUAGCGUAGUAGGGUUGUGACCGUGCCCGUCCUUUUUAGAUUAGUGGUGAUUCAAUGAUUGAGCGGGAUGGUUUGGUUCCUUCUGCAGUCUUGUGUGCCUUAGUUUGUAACCAGAUGAUUCAGUGGUUUUGCACUGUUGAUGGGAUGCCAGUUGAUUCGGAGGUAAUGCUCUGUUAAUGGCAGUCGGAUUCAAGGCCCUUGUUCUGUCUCUCUUUUAUGUUAUAGGUAGCAUUGUGUACUUGGUCGAGGGAGUAUUAGACCGGUUGGAUUGGGCUUGGUGAGCAAGGUACUUAGGGAGGUAGCUUUGUCGGAUGUCGUCAUCUCCGGAUUGAGCCUCUCUUGAUGCCCGGUCCUCUGCAUUUCUGUUCCUUAGAAGUAGGCGCUAUGCUUGAUGCUCCUGUGCUAGGUUGAAGCUUUGGAAUCUUGGUCUUCUUAUCCCAUCUUUGGAGACCUGUGGCUACGGGUUUUGGUUGAGGAUAGGUUGUUUUCUGGCGAGCUUUAGAGAUCUGGAUGAGAGUGUAUUAGACUGGAUGCAAUGGCGUGGUGUGUAGGUUUGGUCCUCCUGUCGAAUAUCAUCAUCUCCGGAUCGAGCCUCUUCUCGGUGCCUAGUUUCUAUGUUUGCUGUUCAGCUUCCCUCAAUGCCAAGGUACUUUGUAGCGGCAAUGAUUCAGCGAUGGUUCAUCAUCGUCUCCUUAUUCAGCUAUGGCUAUGUAUUUUAUUUCCUAGUCUGGCGGGAUGUGCCAGGAUAUUGUUAGUUCUCUUAUCAUUUCUUUUCGCUUUAUUUCACUGCAUUGUAUAUGAUACCCCGUUGUGCUAUCAUUCCUUAUAGAUGGAUAGUGCAAUGGGGUAUGAUAUCAAAGCACAAUGCAUGUUUGUUGCACUCCUUAUUGUAUUCUACUCUCCAUGCGGGUUAUGCAUGGGUUAUCGCA